GAUGAAGAACGUAGCGAAAUGCGAUAAGUAGUGUGAAUUGCAGAAUUCCGUGAAUCAUCGAAUCUUUGAACGCACAUUGCGCCCUUUGGUAUUCCGAAGGGCAUGCCUGUUCGAGCGUCAUUAUCACCCCUCAAGCCCUCGGCUUGGUGUUGGACGGUUUGGUGGAGGCCCCCUCGGGGGCUCCUGCCCCUCCCAAAGACAAUGACGGCGGCCUCGUUGGACCCCCGGUACACUGAGUUCUUCACGGGACACGUAUCGGACACAUGGGUUUACGGGACACGGUCUGCCUCCCCUCAGGGAGAAUCUUUCUAAGGUUGACCUCGGAUCAGGUAGGGAUACCCGCUGAACUUAAGCAUAUCAAUAAGCGGAGGA
rnacentral:misc_RNA from 1 species